rnacentral:lncRNA from 1 species
GGGGGCGGAGCGGCCGGGGUGCGCGGUAAAGAUGGGGCGGCGCGGCCGGGGCUCGCCAGCACCAGCCCUGGAACCCCAUGGGGGACCUCGACAACAGCGCCUUUGCGGCGUGGGCCCCUUUCUGCAGCUCCUCCACCCGCGCGCUGUCGGCUCCGGGACACUGGGGCUUUGAAGGGCGCCAGUUCCCAGCCGCACCUGCACGCCUAGGAGGGCGCAGGCCGCGUGUCCCUGUGGGAGGAAGGCCCCGGCAACCUGCAAAGACCUCACGUCACAGAAACUUGCGGCGUUUGCCCCCGAUGCGCGCGUCAGGUGCUCCGUCCCUUCCAGGUGGCAGAGGAGAGGGAAGGGUCGCGCCUGGUGGGGGCCUGAGAGCCACCGGGCUGCGGUGCGCGAGUGUGGACACCGCCCCGCCUUCUGCGUCUACAGCCCUGGGUUCUGGGACCUUUGGAAACCGCUUUGGACGAAGCUGAGCAUCUCUUUCCCCACGCUGACCUCCCCCAUAGACUCCGGAUGGGAGUAAAUGAGGCUCCUGGGAAAUCCAGAAACUCUAGAGAAGCUUGUUUGCCAAACCUUGCUUUGGGCGGUGGAGACAGAAUAUCAUGUCCCAGAUCAGCGUGUGGUGACUGUGGAGGCAUUUACACACAGCACACUCCAGCUCUGCCACUGGGCCGGCUGAGGUGGCUGCGGUACACGGCGCCCAUCCUGAGCCCCAGGUUCCUCACAUGUCAACAGCAUGAAAAGUGCCUCUAAGACAUCCACAGGUGUGCAGUGUUAAAGCAGGCAGCGCCUCAGCUUGGUUAGCUCCCUUAAGGACUGCGGCUCCCUUAGGACAAGGCUCUGUCCCUCAGAGCACUGAGUGCGAUCUCAUGCUGGCAUCUUAGAGACAUUGUAUUCACCAGGUAAGAUGGAUUCACAUCUGCUGGGUGCACGAACACUUCCUCCUUCCUUGCCACCAGCCAGCAUCACAACCAGCCUGGCCAGGCUCCCGUCCCAGCCCAGCCUAGCAGCUAACCCCAGCUCCAUCCCCCAGCAAGCCCCUCUGCCUGCACCUCAGCUUCUUCAUGGAAGACGAGUCAGGUCAUGAUGCCACCAGGGAGCGUGUUUCCAUGUUGAACUGAGACACUAAGCCCUUGACAAAUGUUGGCCAAGAAAAAAAAGGGGCUCCAAGAGGGGAGCUGUGGCUCAGGUAGAAGACGGUGAAUGAGCAUUGCCUGAAUCAGAGUUAGCUACUCUGGUUACACAGGUGUCCCCGGCAGGUUGGUCAAAAGCCCUUCCCUGAGUCCCGUGAUAAGUGUGGGGAGGGAGGCAAAUCAAAGACCCCUACACACCUCCUGCAUGGAUGGCCAGAGCGCUGGUCCCACCUCCUUCCUUCCAAACUGCAACCCCGAUCAGCACAGCAGAGAAGUCUCCUGUGGCAGGGACCAGUAAUUCAGUGCUUCCCCUGGAGAGUCUGGGAUUGCACAGAACACCAGAGGCUGGGGAUUUAUUUGUUCACCAACAUUCAUUCAACAAACACUUACUGAGGCCAACACUGGGAAUGGAGACGAACUUCCCUGUCCUCAUGGAGCUUGCUUUCAAAAGGGAAGGAGGCAGACAGUAAACAAAACAAGCAAGUCAAUAUACAGCAUGAUGCAGAAAAGGUGUGAUGCCACCCUCUUGCCUGAGUUUAUAACAAGCAGAUGAUGUUGUCCUAAGAAUUAAUUUCAGCCGGUGAAAGAGUACAGGCAAAAAACGUGGUCUCGGACUUUCCGGUGAUGCUUAAGAACAUAGUUGCAGUUUUUGUUCUGAUUCUUUGUGCAUCUCGCGCUAAUGAAGGAUUCUGCCAUGAUUGCCACCUCUGGAGACGUCACAGCCAGCACAGCCAUGACCAGGGAUGAACUUGGCCAUUGUCCAGCAGCACCAUGGGAGGACCAGCUGCUGUAAGUGAAGGUCAUCAUCCAUCUGAUUUGCUGGCUUUUUGCAACUACUGCGGUGGAAGUCUUAGAGUAGCCACCUUCUCUGUACUCAGACCUUCACUUCGCCAGAUGUCAGCACAGCAGUGUCAGCAGCUUCGUCAAACACAAACACCACCACCUCUCUGGAUCAGAAGCACAUGGAAAGCCCACCUUGCAAGAAGACCCAGCUAUUCCAAAAGUACCCAUAUCCCUGUAGCAUCCUCUUAGCUGAAUGUCUCUACUCCUUAAACUUGUACCACUUUGAAGAGUAAAAAUUUAAAUUCAUUCA